rnacentral:misc_RNA from 1 species
UGUUGACGCUACCCUUCCUGAGCUAAGUAGGCACGUGGCCCGAGGCAGAGCUGCAGUGCAAUCACUCUGAAAAUGAGAGUGCAUUGAAACUCGUCCCUGCCUUAAGUCUAAGGAAUAGAUUAGGUAGGGUGGAACGAUUGCUUAAGCAAGCAAGUUCAUAUUUGCCCAACCAGCUACCCUUGAGACAAGGCUUGUUUGCCUUUGGGCAAGGGCUUUAGAGAUAUUCCUAAGCCCUUGUUGUUUUGUCUAUCACUCUUGAGCUAUUUG